AAUUAGCUAGGCGUGGUGGCACAUGCCUGUAGUCCCAGCUACUCAGGAGGCUGAGGUGGGAGGAUCACCUGAGCCUGGGAGGUCGAGGCUGCAGUGAGCCGUGAUUGUACCACUGCACUCCAGUCUAGGCAAUGGAGUAAGACUGUCUCAAAAAACUAAAGAACUUUAAAAAAAUUAUAACAAAAUGAUGCUGAAGAAAACAUUGGAGGACCUGCUGUAACAUCAUUUGGCUUAAAGUCAUGGUUUCCAGGAACCUGUUGACAACAUGAGGACUUAAUAGAUAUGAUCAGCAGGAUCAUGAACUAGAAAGCGGCUUGGAUUCUAUCCUUGGUUUUGCCAUUAACUGCCAACCACAUGACUUCAGAUAACCUCUUGCCCUCACUACCUUGUGGAGUUACUGAAAGAUAAAAUCAAAGUGCUUUAAAAAGAUGAAAGCAUUAUACAAAUUUAAGAUUUUAGCACAGGGACAAAAAAUACAGCUAAGACUAUGAGGAGCUUCUGAAAGCAGAGAUUGAGAGCUGUGGCAAAUAUAUGAGCCGUGACGCAAUGGGGAGCGUAACUAGAUGGCAGGUGCCCUGCCUUUGCCCCCACCCUCUCUCCCCAUUGUCCUACUCAUUCAUAACCCAGAUUCCAGGGCUCAUUCCUCUGGAGAAUCCUUAACUGUGCCUGUGCCAAGACAGGCUCCACAAGGCUGGUCAGGCAGGCUGCCUGGGUGCAAACGGCCAAGCCAUGAGGGAGCCAAGGAAGAUGGGACACACUGCUUCUGAAAGGUUACUAACACCUUUUUAAGAGAGACCUUUGGACUGCUUCAUGUCCUGGAAGAAGGGGAAAAAAGAGACCCUUUGGGCUUCUGGAGCUAGCCCUGAACCAAAAAACUCCCUAAUCAACCUGACUUAGGUAAAACCUUUACUGAGCUGGGAAUCUGGUUCAGUCUGGGAUUGUCAGGGACUAUUUCAGGGCAACAGAAGGGGACUGGCUUUUCUUGUCAUAGGUCACAAAGGCAGAGAGAACCACACCAGCAUCACCAAGAUGGCCAGGAGUGGAAAAUGCAGACAUUGAGCCUAAAACAAGAAGCCAUUUCCUUGGGAGCACUGUGAUGGGGGCCGCGCUCACUCACUAUAUGCCCAAAGCCUCUGGCCUGGGUGGCUGCUGUUCAGUUGAGAGUGUAACCAGCUCCUGUUUUCCCUGCCAGGGCUUGAGUCCUGUGAGAACCUUGGGAAGAGAGAAGAGAUAAUGGGUAGUUUUAGGGGAUAGAAUACCCCUUCCUCCUACCAAAUGUAAGAGAAAUCCACCCCCGCAACAAGAUCUUCUCAAACUGUUUUGUGCUCUGAAGUGUCUAAAGAUAGGGGAGCUUUUCAGCCUAUUCUAGACCCAGCUCCUUCUCAGAGGAAAAGAGAGGGAGCUGGCCAGGGACUACUCCCAUGCCCCCUCAAGAAGAGCAGAGAGAGUUUCUACCCCAUCAUUCCACAAAGUCAGAACAGCUAGAACGGAGGCUGAAGAGACUGAGAGCAGCUGCAGAAAUCCAAAAAUAUUGACCUUAUAAGCUCAAGAUGCUGUAUGCUGGGUUUUUACAAGGAUAUUCGGUAUUUGAUGAAACCCAGUUAGGCAUGACAUAUUCCCCUUCUCCCCAUUCCUACCUCUCUUUUAUUAAAAAUUUUAUAGUUACAGUGUCUAUGUUGCCCAGCCUGGUCUUGAACCCUUUGGCUCAAGUGAUCCACCUGCCUUGGCCUCCCAAAGUGCUGGGAUUACAGAUGGGAGCCAUCGUGUCUGGCCCAUUCCUGCCUCUUAAAGCCCUCCACCCAACAGGCAGACUUGAGACUCAAACCGUGGUCCCAGCUCUGCAUCAGGGGUAGUUUGGAAUUCAGAUUCUUUCAAACUGGGGUAAAAACCAGGCCCAGAGUUCAGAGUUCAACAACAAGCUUCCAAGAUGCCGCCCAAAGGAAAAAGUGGUUCUGGAAAAGCGGGGAAAGGGGGUGCAGCCUCUGGGAGUGACAGUGCUGACAAGAAGGCUCAAGGUCCCAAAGGUGGUGGCAAUGCAGUAAAGGUCAGACACAUUCUAUGGGAAAAACAUGGCAAAAUCAUGGAAGCCAUGGAAAAGUUAAAGUCUGGGAUGAGAUUCAAUGAAGUGGCCACACAAUAUAGUGAAGAUAAAGCCAGGCAAGGGGGCGUCUUGGGUUGGAUGACCAGAGGGUCCAUGGUGGGACCAUUUCAAGAAGCAGCAUUUGCCUUGCCUAUAAGUGUGAUGGAUAAGCCUGUGUUUACAGACCCAGCAGUUAAGACAAAAUUUGGAUAUCAUAUUAUUAUGGUUGAAGGAAGAAAAUAAAAUCAUAUGAAAGACUGAAAGAA
rnacentral:lncRNA from 1 species